rnacentral:lncRNA from 1 species
GGCUGGCGGAGAGCAGUGUGUGGACGGGGUAUUUGUAAAAGACUCUUCGAUUUUAAGUUAGUGGAAGAACCAACAGAAUGAGACUAAGGUGAACAGUGAUAUGCUGUUGUUACUUUCUUUGUAUUUGCUGUCCAUCAUUAACCAAGACCUGGAUGCAGAUAUUACUUUUCCCAGAGGUAUUUCUCCUGGUAAAUUCUCCAGUUUAUCUUGAACAACUCUUUCAUUCCUUGUACAUAUAUUACCAAAAUUGUAAUAUUUAACUAGUGCUCCUUUAUGUUGUUUGGUUAUUUCCUUUGACCUCACAAUGUCAUUGCAUUUGUAGCUGAAAAUAUUAUUCUUCCAGAUGUGCAUUUGUAAAUGACUUUUAUACUUAGGUAACAGUUUUCUCCACAAAUUAGAAUUGUGUGCACUGUUUUAUGCCUCUCACCUCAAAUUAUUAAAGAAUCCCCUAUCUUGGUCUGAUGUCCAUCCCUACAUUGAUUUUAGAGACACAUGUUCCCAGUUUUGAGAGAAGUUUCAGUUGAAAUUCCAAACUCUUAAUCUUGUCUUAAUCUAUGACUGUUUUAGUAGCUUUUGCAUUAUAAUGUUUUACCACUUUGAAAUACAGAAGGAUAUCACUUGCAUUUACCAUAUUCUGCUGAUGAUCUUUUUCAUUGAGGCUCUAAAUUGGAUGAGCUUAUAACCUCUAGUUUUUGUUUUCUGAAUUAGGUAUCAUCUGUUUAUGAUCAAUCUAGAAUGCAAGAAAUUUGAGGAAAUUCUAAUGAGCUGAUUUGUAACUGUGAGGAGCUGAUCUGUUCAAUUUGCAAAGGUUACUGAUUCAGAGAAUUCUCAGUGACUGAUCUGCUAUGCUCCAGAUUCAUGAGGCCCAUUCCAGAGCUAGUUGGAUAAGUUGGUAUCAAUAGAAGAAAACCUCUAAGAUGGAAUAUUAUGUUGUAGGUGGUAGGUGAAAUAAUAAAGUAUUAUGUCCAAUUUUGAGAAAAAGGUGAAAGUUACCUUGUUAGAGUUUUUCUAUGAAAUGUAUCAAACUUGCACCAGGCUAUUCAAUCUGAUUCUUUAUUGUGCCCAACUCAAACUCUGUUUAGUUGAUGCAGAGUUAAGGACCAAUUACUCUUUUCAGUAUUUUUAAGAAAAAUCAGAGAGAAUCAAACACUAACUAUACAAACGAGAAAAAUAAGAGAGAAACAAACACUAACAAUUACUCUUUUGGACAAAUAAGUUUAACCCCUGCUCCUCAAUUCACUAUACCAAAUACUUCACAAAUCACUCCUCUCAAGGUUAAUCUUGCUGACAAAUAUCGCUAUGUAAGGUUCUCAUGCACAUGCCUCCACAACAACAUAGUACUCGAUCACCCCCUGCAGUUGUGUAACUUUUGUUCUCUUCUUUUACUCUCCGAAAGCAAUAGAUAAGAAAAUGAAGACAAAAUUGUGGUUGAUAGAAAUUUUUAAGAAAAUAUUCCUUGAAAGGCAAACUAGUACUUGUCAGUAUUCAUAAAACACAUUUGCAAUUCGGCCAUUCCCAUGAAAACAAAGAAUCCAAUGCUACAAUUUUCUCACUCACUCAGUAAUGAUGCUACAAAAUAAUGGAGGAGAUGUAGAAGAAGCAAAGACAGAAUCUGUAAAGGUAGUGGAUGCUUUAGGUACCUAGACAUGAGACCUUCACGUAAUCACAUGAUUAGGUCAAUAAAUCACCAAAGGAUGUGCCAAUUGUUUUAACCUUAGUGAGAAUCUUAGGAUCGACCACUAUACUAUUAUUACCACCCUCUAGGUACUUUUCCCUAAUAUCAAUACACACAUUUAGAAAAACAAGACCCUAUGUACUUGUCUUCUUUUAUUUCCCAACUUUGUGUUUGCAUUGGUGGCCAAUUAAGUCUGCUACUUGAACCAUUAUAGCAUAGAAUUAUGAUGCACAUCGUCCUCAUCAACCUUCCUUCUAAUUACUAUUAGCCAAAACACACUGCACUAUCAAUGGCCUUAGAAGAACUACUACCACCAUAAAAAGAUAUUAGUUGAUACCUCUUUUUUUUAAGCAAGUGAUCAAAAUCAUAUUCCAAGUAGGAAUAAGAGGCCCGGUACGUUCAUGUGAUCUUUGGAGAGAAACACAAUCAUUCAUGCAAAAUGCAUGUAAGGCGAAAACUGAUGGCUCGUGUAUGUUUCUACUAAAACAUGAUAAUCUAGUCACCAUUUCUGACAAUGGAAAGCAGCUCAACAAGUCCUGAGACAUUUACAACCUAACGAUGAAAGUCAAUAUAUAUUGGGGCAUGGUAAUCAUGAUGCAUAGUUAUUUCACAAGCUUGAAUGAUUUUCAAACUGACUUUUCCUGUUUCAAACCAUUUACCUCUUGCAAUAUUGGUUUCAUUGCAAGUUAUUUAUAAUGUUAAUGACAACUCUAAAUUUGGAGCUUCAGAGCCCUAGACAAGGCAUCAAGAGACCUGUUUUUUAUGAUCCAAUUUUUUGGAUGUCAUAUCUCAUAUCUCAUAUCUUGUGCAUUAAAAUGAACAGUUAUGAUCCAGGUGUAACUCUUAAGCUGGCCAAGUUACACAUACCAAUGAAGGUUUUUAUGUGGCUGGCGGAGAGCAGUGUGUGGACGGGGUAUUUGUAAAAGACUCUUCGAUUUUAAGUUAGUGGAAGAACCAACAGAAUGAGACUAAGGUGAACAGUGAUAUGCUGUUGUUACUUUCUUUGUAUUUGCUGUCUAUCAUUAACCAAGACCUGGAUGCAGAUAUUACUUUUCACAGAGGCAUUUCUCUUGGUCAAUUCUCCAGUUUAUCUUGAACAAAACUUUCAUUCCUUGAACAUAUAUUACCAAAAUUGCAAUAUUUAACUAGUGCUCCUUUAUGUUGUUUGGUUAUUUCCUUUGACCUCACAAUGUCAUUGCAUUUGUAGCUGAAAAUAUUAUUCUUCCAGAUGUGCAUUUGUAAAUGACUUUUAUACUUAGGUAACAGUUUUCUCCACAAAUUAGAAUUGUGUGCACUGUUUUAUGCCUCUCACCUCAAAUUAUUAAAGAAUCCCCUAUCUUGGUCUGAUGUCCAUCCCUACAUUGAUUUUAGAGACACAUGUUCCCAGUUUUGAGAGAAGUUUCAGUUGAAAUUCCAAACUCUUAAUCUUGUCUUAAUCUAUGACUGUUUUAGUAGCUUUUGCAUUAUAAUGUUUUACCACUUUGAAAUACAGAAGGAUAUCACUUGCAUUUACCAUAUUCUGCUGAUGAUCUUUUUCAUUGAGGCUCUAAAUUGGAUGAGCUUAUAACCUCUAGUUUUUGUUUUCUGAAUUAGGU